rnacentral:rRNA from 1 species
AACGUAGGAGGCAAGCGUUAUCCGGAUUUACUGGGCGUAAAGGGCGUCUAGGUGGUUGGGAAAGUUGGCUGUGAAAGCUCCUGGCUCAACUGGGAGAGGUCAGUCAAAACUACCUGACUUGAGGGUCGGAGAGGGGUGUGGAAUUCCCGGUGUAGCGGUGGAAUGCUUAGAGAUCGGGAGGAACACCAGUGGCGCAGGCGACACCCUGGCCGACAUCUGACACUGAAGCGCGAAAGCGUGGGGAGCGAACAGG